UACGUAGGGCGCGAGCGUUGUCCGGAAUUAUUGGGCGUAAAGAGCUCGUAGGCGGCUUGUCACGUCGGGUGUGAAAGACCGGGGCUUAACUCCGGUUCUGCAUUCGAUACGGGCUAGCUAGAGUGUGGUAGGGGAGAUCGGAAUUCCUGGUGUAGCGGUGAAAUGCGCAGAUAUCAGGAGGAACACCGGUGGCGAAGGCGGGUCUCUGGGCCGUAACUGACGCUGAGGAGCGAAAGCAUGGGGAGCGAACAGG
rnacentral:rRNA from 1 species